rnacentral:lncRNA from 1 species
GUCAUAUUUUAAUAAGAAUCAUAUUAUGGAAAACCGUAUAAUACAUACACAUGAGGAACCAUUAUACUUUUAGUACAACCAAUUAUAUUACAUUUGUUUUCUUAUUUUAGAUGAACUUUCUUACUUCGGUUGGAGGAGAUUAGAAACAACUUACAGCGGUAAUCUUAAUACAGCUAAUGGCCAAAGAAGUAUGUUUUUCAUAUUCAGUAUAUGAAAGAAAACAAAAACGACCUGCAAGGUCGUUAUAGAGUUGCGUUUAGUCGUUUAUCGUUGUAUUCGUUCAUUUCGAAAUCGCUACUGACAAAAG